rnacentral:rRNA from 1 species
UACGAAGGGGGCUAGCGUUGUUCGGAAUUACUGGGCGUAAAGCGCACGUAGGCGGAUCGAUCAGUCAGGGGUGAAAUCCCAGGGCUCAACCCUGGAACUGCCUUUGAUACUGUCGAUCUGGAGUAUGGAAGAGGUGAGUGGAAUUCCGAGUGUAGAGGUGAAAUUCGUAGAUAUUCGGAGGAACACCAGUGGCGAAGGCGGCUCACUGGACUGGUAUUGACGCUGAGGUGCGAAAGCGUGGGGAGCAAACAGGG